GCAGCGACACUAUGUGUUGUUGGGUAGGGGAGCGUUCUGUAAGCCUGCGAAGGUGGCCUGUGAGGGUUGCUGGAGGUAUCAGAAGUGCGAAUGCUGACAUAAGUAACGAUAAAGCGGGUGAAAAGCCCGCUCGCCGGAAGACCAAGGGUUCCUGUCCAACGUUAAUCGGGGCAGGGUGAGUCGACCCCUAAGGCGAGGCCGAAAGGCGUAGUCGAUGGGAAACAGGUUAAUAUUCCUGUACUUGGUGUUACUGCGAAGGGGGGACGGAGAAGGCUAUGUUAGCCGGGCGACGGUUGUCCCGGUUUAAGCAUGUAGGCUGGUUAUCCAGGCAAAUCCGGAUAAUCAAGGCUGAGGUGUGAUGACGAGGCACUACGGUGCUGAAGUAACAAAUGCCCUGCUUCCAGGAAAAGCCUCUAAGCAUCAGGUAACAUCAAAUCGUACCCCAAACCGACACAGGUGGUCAGGUAGAGAAUACCAAGGCGCUUGAGAGAACUCGGGUGAAGGAACUAGGCAAAAUGGUGCCGUAACUUCGGGAGAAGGCACGCUGGUGUGUAGGUGAAGUCCCUGCGGAUGGAGCUGAGACCAGUCGAAGAUACCAGCUGGCUGCAACUGUUUAUUAAAAACACAGCACUGUGCAAACACGAAAGUGGACGUAUACGGUGUGACGCCUGCCCGGUGCCGGAAGGUUAAUUGAUGGGGUUAUCCGUAAGGAGAAGCUCUUGAUCGAAGCCCCGGUAAACGGCGGCCGUAACUAUAACGGUCCUAAGGUAGCGAAAUUCCUUGUCGGGUAAGUUCCGACCUGCACGAAUGGCGUAAUGAUGGCCAGGCUGUCUCCACCCGAGACUCAGUGAAAUUGAACUCGCUGUGAAGAUGCAGUGUACCCGCGGCAAGACGGAAAGACCCCGUGAACCUUUACUAUAGCUUGACACUGAACAUUGAGCCUUGAUGUGUAGGAUAGGUGGGAGGCUUUGAAGCGUGGACGCCAGUCUGCGUGGAGCCAACCUUGAAAUACCACCCUUUAAUGUUUGAUGUUCUAACGUUGGCCCCUUAUCGGGGUUGCGGACAGUGUCUGGUGGGUAGUUUGACUGGGGCGGUCUCCUCCCAAAGCGUAACGGAGGAGCACGAAGGUUAGCUAAUCCUGGUCGGACAUCAGGAGGUUAGUGCAAUGGCAUAAGCUAGCUUGACUGCGAGCGUGACGGCGCGAGCAGGUGCGAAAGCAGGUCAUAGUGAUCCGGUGGUUCUGAAUGGAAGGGCCAUCGCUCAACGGAUAAAAGGUACUCCGGGGAUAACAGGCUGAUACCGCCCAAGAGUUCAUAUCGACGGCGGUGUUUGGCACCUCGAUGUCGGCUCAUCACAUCCUGGGGCUGAAGUAGGUCCCAAGGGUAUGGCUGUUCGCCAUUUAAAGUGGUACGCGAGCUGGGUUUAGAACGUCGUGAGACAGUUCGGUCCCUAUCUGCCGUGGGCGCUGGAGAAUUGAGGGGGGCUGCUCCUAGUACGAGAGGACCGGAGUGGACGCAUCACUGGUGUUCGGGUUGUCAUGCCAAUGGCACUGCCCGGUAGCUAAAUGCGGAAGAGAUAAGUGCUGAAAGCAUCUAAGCACGAAACUUGCCCCGAGAUGAGUUCUCCCUGAGACUUUAAGUCUCCUGAAGGAACGUUAAAGACGAUGACGUUGAUAGGCCGGGUGUGUAAGCGCAGCGAUGCGUUGAGCUAACCGGUACUAAUGAACCGUGAGGCUUAACCUU
rnacentral:rRNA from 1 species